rnacentral:rRNA from 1 species
UACGUAGGGUGCAAGCGUUAAUCGGAAUUACUGGGCGUAAAGCGUGCGCAGGCGGUCUUGUAAGUCAGAGGUGAAAUCCCCGGGCUCAACCUGGGAACUGCCUUUGUGACUGCAAGGCUUGAGUACGGUAGAGGGGGAUGGAAUUCCGCGUGUAGCAGUGAAAUGCGUAGAUAUGCGGAGGAACACCGAUGGCGAAGGCAAUCCCCUGGACCUGUACUGACGCUCAUGCACGAAAGCGUGGGGAGCAAACAGG